UACACCUAAAAUGAAAAGAGCUGGUAAGUUAUAUGUAAUUUAUACACAAAGGUAUGUAAACCACACUUCUUUCUAAAUAGUUUUUGAAAUGUGUUAUGCCAGAAUGUCCCAGUUUUAAACUACAGUCAGGAAAUAGCAAUUAAAAAAUUACUCUAAUACAGACCUCUCACAGGGUGAGUAUACUGAAGAAGUGAUUAAGUCCUGUUCUAACAGUGAUUUCUAUAGUCUGAUUGGUUCCUGGAAACAAUAUAAUAUAACAUCAUAACUCAUUAUAGUAGUAUUUGCUUUAUAUGCAUGAUACAGAAGUUUGUGUAAUCAUCAUUUAAUUAUUUAUAAUAGCUUUUUCACCUCAUUUACGUGCUUAAAAUUUUUCAGGACUCUCCUAGUAACAAGAAUAUUACUAUUAUGAGCUUACAAUGCAGCAGAAACACUCCAUUUCCUAGAAGAAGAAAUGCAAGGAUUUCUUGGAAAGACUGAUGGAAGCCAAACUGUGUUGAAAAUGGAUUAUUUAUUCUCUUCUACUGCUGUCUACUCAGUACAAACAAGAUUUCACAAGGAUGGAUGUUAAAAGUAGCCUAAUCCUCCGGCAGAUUCUGAAGAACCAAAUAGCCAGGAUGCGGAUGCACAGAAAGCUAGAAUA